ensembl:lncRNA
CAUGCAUAUUUGAUGGCUUUGGAAAGUCACGAUGAUGGCAGGGAGAUCAGCACUCUGGUGACUCUGCUGCCCCACUGUGGACAAAAGGGAGAAGUGCAUUUGAGAACAGGCGAUAUUUGCGUUUGGUGAGUUUGGUUUGGUCUGACAAAUGUUAUAACCAGUUAUUUGAUUUUAGUGUGGGCCUGUUGGAUCUGUUUAACAUCUCAACUGCAAUCAAAAUUAGCUCUGAAUUAGGAACAAAACAAAAAAUAACACCGGUGCCACCUGUGUGACAAAACCGAUGAAGAAGUGAGUCAAUGAAGUGAAACUAUG